rnacentral:rRNA from 1 species
UACGAGAGGCCCAAACGUUAUUCGGAAUUACUGGGCUUAAAGAGUUCGUAGGCGGUAUGACAAGUAGGGUGUGAAAGCCCUCGGCUCAACCGAGGAAUUGCGCUCUAAACUGUCGUACUUGAGGAACCUAGAGGUGAGCAGAACAGAUGGUGGAGCGGUGAAAUGCGUUGAUAUCGGGAGGAAUACCGAUGGCGAAGGCAACUGCCUGGGCCUGAACUGACACUGUGACUCGAAAGCGUGGGUAGCAAACAGG